rnacentral:misc_RNA from 1 species
UUCAUUUUACAUUUGGUUGGCCGCAUGGUGGCCGGGCCUGUGUGUUUGUUUGCUUCCUCUUUGACGUAGAUGUGCACGGCGGAUGGUGUUAUGGCACCCAGUGCUACGCACAUGCUUCAUUGAGGUGGCUUCCGGACCUUGAUGGCCUUGUUCCCAUGGGGUUGAACCUUGAUACGGUUUCCUUCUUGAUGCGUUGAUCUUCGUGGGGGUUCGAUCCUCGUGCAUGGCAUCCUUGAGGUGUGAGUGUGGCAUGGUGUUUGGUGCUUCUUAGCACUAGAUUCCUACGCGUGCUCUCGGCCGACGAUGGGUUGUUUGCUGGUUUGGCUUGGCUCCCAAGGGGUUGAGACCUCAACAACUGUCCCGAUUGUUACUAUUUUCUCUUCUCUUAUUUCCCAUGCCUAGCGGGGCAGGCUCGACACCACACAAUGCUUCCACACGCUCAGCUAGCCUUGUGCUUGGUUGGGGUGUGGUUCAAUUUGUUUGAUGUUGUGGUCUGGCGGACGUAACGGCGUGUGAGUGGUGACAAGGUUGUAUGUCUUGACAGGCUCCGUGCUUGUGCAUCGAACUGUUAGGCGUGCUCCUCCUCAUUUUUGCUCCUCGUGUGAAUAGCAUGUUGGGCUACCGAAGGGUUCCUG